rnacentral:lncRNA from 13 species
AUGGCCUCUCUGACUUCUGCCUUUUCCAGUCUAACCCAUCUUACAAUUCUGCUUUCUAUGUCAUCUGAUGUUACACUCUCAGUGUCUCACUCUUGUCUCCAGAAGAAGUUUGAAACAUACCGACCCAGCCUUAUCUCUCACUCAGAGGGAAACCUGAUGUCUCCCCAAAUUGUAUAAGCUUAGGCUCUGAAAAAUUCCUAAGAAUUCAGUGUGCUGCCAGGCGUGAUGGCUCAUGCCUGUAAUCCAAGCACUUUGGAGGCCAAGGCAGGCAGAUCACCUGAAGUCGGGAGUUCAAGACCAGCCUGACCAACACGGUGAAACCCCGUCUUAAGAAAAAAAAAAAAAAUUCAGUGUGAUAAAGAGUCUAGUACCUUCUAGAAAUGCCUCGAAAGUGUCAAUUUUAACUUGCAACAGUUUAUUAGCUAUUACAAGUCCAAAUGACUACUCUUCGGCCCUUCUUCCAAAAUAGUAAGAUUUCUAGAAGAAGAGAUUGUGUUGAAAUCUUUACAAGCUCAGUAGUAGACCUUCCUUCCACACCAAUAUUUAGGAUUUUUGUCCUCUUGAUUCAUUAUUGAAUUUAGUUAAAGUUUCUAUUGAAAUUUUAAUUCUGAAUAACAAGUAAACUUAAUAAGCAAUUAAAAAUGAGAUGUUGAAAUAGAGUUAUUUUGCAGAUUUGUUGCACGUUCAUGACUUGAAAACGUUAGAGGUAAAAACCAUGAGCAUCUUUGUUUCUAUUUAGAUGGAUAUUUAUCAUUAUUUGUGAGAUAUGUCCAGGAUGGUUUUACUUUAAAACCACAAAUACAGUUUUAACAAUGGG